rnacentral:rRNA from 1 species
ACUGCUCAGUAACACGUGGAUAACCUGCCCUUGGGUCCGGGAUAACCCCGGGAAACUGGGACUAAUACCGGAUAGAUCAAAGAUACUGGAAUGUUCUCUGGUCUAAAACUCCGGUGCCCAAGGAUGGGUCUGCGGCCUAUCAGGUUGUAGUGGGUGUAACGUACCUACUAGCCUACGACGGGUAAGGGUUGUGAGAGCAAGAUCCCUGUGAUGGAUUCUGAGACAUGAAUCCAGGCCCUACGGGGUGCAGCAGGCGCGAAACCUUUACACUGCGGGAAACCGCGAUAAGGGGACCCCGAGUGCCAGCACCUAGUGCUGGCUGUCCCGCUGUCUAAAUAACAGUGGUUAGCAAGGGCCGGGCAAGACCGGUGCCAGCCGCCGCGGUAACACCGGCGGCCCGAGUGGUAGCCGCUAUUAUUGGGUUUAAAGGGCCCGUAGCCGGCCUAUUAAGUCUCUUGGGAAAUCUGGCGGCUUAAUCGUCAGGCGUCCAAGAGAUACUGGUAGGCUUGGGACCGGGAGAGGUGGGAGGUACUCCAGGGGUAGGGGUGAAAUCUCGUAAUCCUUGGGGGACCACCGAUGGCGAAGGCAUCCCACCAGAACGGGUCCGACGGUGAGGGACGAAAGCUGGGGGCACGAACCGGAUUAGAUACCCGGGUAGUCCCAGCUGUAAACGAUGCUCGCUAGGUGUCAGGUGCGGUGCGACCGCAUCUGGUGCCGCAGUGAAAACUUGAAGCGAGUCACCUGGGAAGUACGGUCGCAAGGCUGAAACUUAAAGGAAUUGGCGGGGGAGCAC